UACGUAGGGGGCAAGCGUUGUCCGGAAUUAUUGGGCGUAAAGCGCGCGCAGGCGGCUUAUUAAGUCUGAUGUGAAAGCCCACGGCUCAACCGUGGAGGGCCACUGGAAACUGGUAGGCUUGAGUGCAGGAGAGGAGAGCGGAAUUCCCGGUGUAGCGGUGAAAUGCGUAGAUAUCAGGAGGAACACCGGUGGCGAAGGCGGGUCUCUGGGCCGAUACUGACGCUGAGGAGCGAAAGCGUGGGGAGCGAACAGG
rnacentral:rRNA from 1 species